AUCUUUUGUGGAAAAAGCUCGUCUGCUCAAAUGCGUUUGCGGGUGCAAGCCAAAACAGCACAUAGUGCUUUAAAGAUGCAGAUCUAAGAUAUAUAGUUUGACAAUUUGUAACUGGGCGAGACGAAACUGAUUGUGACUUGUGUUCUAUGCUCAGGAAAGGCUUUCUUUGACAGGCUAAACCGAAGCCAAUUUCGAAAACAGGAGUUGAUUCGAAAAAAGGCCAAUUUCGACGAAAGACUACUGCACACUAGAUGUAGCUUAUACAGUGAAACGAAUGUGAAUGUGAGUUGCAAGAAUGAGGUCCUAAAGGACGUGCUCUAAUUUGUCAUCCAGCAAUUGUUCUAUCUCGCAACGCAUCGUUCUAUUUAAGAGGUGUUGAAGGAAUAAACAGACUUUGCCUGACGUGUAACAACAAUGAUUGCAAUAGCAAUUCAUCUUUUGCCUCACAAAGGGAGCGUAUCAUUAAGCUACCGUAGGCCUCGGACAAAGGGAAUUAUUUCGACAGACUAUAUGCGGCCUACACUUAUAUAUGUUAGCAUUCGAGUGUCGUAUUGACACUGACAGCACCAUUGGAAAAUAAAUUGCAGACUUUAUCUACUGUA